CCUACGGGAGGCAGCAGUGAGGAAUAUUGGUCAAUGGCCGGAAGGCUGAACCAGCCAUGCCGCGUGAAGGUCAGUGCCCUAUGGGCGUUAAACUUCUUUUGUGCGGGAGCAAUAAUGGUCACGUGUGGCCAGACGAGAGUACCGUACGAAUAAGCAUCGGCUAACUCCGGGCCAGCAGCCGCGGUAAUACGGGGGAUGCAAGCGUUAUCCGGAUUUAUUGGGUUUAAAGGGUGCGUAGGCUGUGAGGUAAGUCAGCGGUGAAAUGCCCCCGCUCAACGGGGUGAAGUGCCAUUGAUACUGCCUGGCUGGAAUGCGGAUGCCGUGGGAGGAAUGUGUGGUGUAGCGGUGAAAUGCAUAGAUAUCACACAGAACACUGAUUGCGAAGGCAUCUCACGAAUCCGCGAUUGACGCUGAUGCACGAAAGCGUGGGUAUCAAACAGGAUUAGAUACCCUUGUAGUC
rnacentral:rRNA from 1 species